CACGGGGGGAGCAAGCGUUGUUCGGAAUCACUGGGCGUAAAGAGCUCGUAGGCGGUUUGUCGCGUCUGCCGUGAAAAUCCGGGGCUCAACCCCGGACUUGCAGUGGGUACGGGCAGACUAGAGUGUGGUAGGGGAGACUGGAAUUCCUGGUGUAGCGGUGAAAUGCGCAGAUAUCAGGAGGAACACCGAUGGCGAAGGCAGGUCUCUGGGCCACUACUGACGCUCAUGCACGAAAGCGUGGGGAGCAAACAGG
rnacentral:rRNA from 1 species